GGGUGACGGAGAAUUAGGGUUCGAUUCCGGAGAGGGAGCCUGAGAAACGGCUACCACAUCCAAGGAAGGCAGCAGGCGCGCAAAUUACCCAAUCCUGACAUGGGGAGGUAGUGACAAUAAAUAACAAUACAGGGUUCUUUUGGAUCUUGUAAUUGGAAUGAGUACAAUUUAAAUCUCUUAACGAGGAACAAUUGGAGGGCAAGUCUGGUGCCAGCAGCCGCGGUAAUUCCAGCUCCAAUAGCGUAUAUUAAAGUUGUUGCAGUUAAAAAGCUCGUAGUUGAAUUUCGGGAUCAAGGAAUCGGUCAUGCCUCGGUAUGUACUGGUUUUAUUGGUUCUCACCUUCUAAAGAACCAUAAUGUCAUUUAUUUGAUGUUAUGGGGAAUUAGGACUGUUACCUUGAAAAAAUUAGAGUGUUUAAAGCAAGCUUACGCUUGAAUACAUUAGCAUGGAAUAAUGAAAUAGGACAUCCGAUUCUAUUUUGUUGGUUUCUAGGAUCGAUGUAAUGAUUAAUAGGGAUAGUUGGGGGCAUUAGUAUUCAAUUGUCAGAGGUGAAAUUCUUGGAUUUAUUGAAGACUAACUACUGCGAAAGCAUUUGCCAAGGAUGUUUUCAUUAAUCAAGAACGAAAGUUAGGGGAUCGAAGACGAUCAGAUACC
rnacentral:rRNA from 1 species